AGGCAGUGGAUCACAGUGGUGAAGAGCAAUGGGCUCCUGGAACCAGCUCUGCCUCUUGUUAUGAGACCCAGGGCAGAAGACAACUUCUCAGUGCUUCAGUUUUUUCAUCUGGGGAUGGAACUAACAAGACGAAUCAGAAAUGUUUAUUGCUCUCAAGUUACUGACAGUCUAGUGCUGUGGAGGCCUGGAGGAAAAGAUAUAACUGGGGAGGCGUCUGCACCGCCCCCUUCAGCUUCCUCUCCUCCAGUCAAUGG